rnacentral:lncRNA from 1 species
UCACACCUACGUCUACUAUUUAACCAAGUUUUCUCUCUCACUCUCUCUCUAUCUUAAAUUUUUAAUUUUAAUUUUAUAUAUUGCUCUUUUGUCUCGAAAUCCAUUUAUUACUUCUGCUCAAAAUUAUGCCAAAAAAGGUGGUAAUUAAUCUUUUGAUCUGUUAAUAUUGUUAGUAGAUAUUAUUAUGUGGGUUGAAUUAGUUGAUUAAUUUGAAUUUUAUUAAUUUGUUGUUAACUAAUAUAUACUGCAGUCACAGGCUACAAUCUGCAGAGAGAAGUCUGUGUUAGUGGCUGUAUAUGUGGAAAGACCAAGGAGGAGAAGAACAACGCUGCUACCAUCGGCUAACCACCAUCACCACCACCAUCUUCAUCUUCACCCAGCUAACAAGGACGGUGGUACUGCUACUAGCGGCAACCGGAGAGCCGAGCUCCUUAACUACUCACGCCGCCUUCGGGAGUCUGCAGCUAGAUCAUCCCACCAUCAGAAUAACCCACUUUCUUCUUACAUCCAACAACCUAUUAACCAGGUGAUCAGUUUAUUGAUAUAUAUAUAUAUAUAUAUAUAUUUCUUAUUAAUCCGUUCCAACAUUAUAUAUGAUGGGCAUAAUUUGGCCAAAAACAAUUAAUAUUGGAUCAUUUAUAUAUAUAAUAUUAAUUCUGAAAAUUUCAUUAUUAUAUAUAUAUAUAUAUAUAUAUAUAUAUAUAUUGUUAAUAGAUUAUUGCUGUUCAAAGCAAGGCAAAACAUGAUCCAACUCGUAUGGGGAAGUGGAAAGUUAUGAUACCAGGGUUUCUCAGAUCUUUGACAAUGUCAAGAGGCAGGAAGAAAAAGAAGAAGAGAAGCAGUAGUAGUACUGAAUCCACCACAGCCACCAAGGCCAAAGCUAUAAUGCAAAGCUUUCAGGUGAUGGGUUAAUUAAUUUAAGGAAACUGAUAUGAUAUUUUCACAUGUUAUUCAAAAAUUUUGAAUAUGGAUUUUCAGGCACAAAAAAAGAAAGGAUUCGUUGCUAAAAUUUUGGCAGUAAUACAAAAAUAUAGGUAAACAAUUAAAUUCUGCCAUUUACAUGAUAAUUCGAUCUACACAAGCAGUCCCUCUCCCUCAUUAGUCGUUUCUUAUUGUUUUUCCAUAUGGAAUGAAUGAAUAAUUUUAGUGGUUGCUUAUGUAUAAUUUUUUCAAACUGGCUACUGGCUCACUGGCUCACUGGCUCACUGGCUACUGGUGGUGUGAUAAAGGUGAACUCAACGGUCAAGGUAUUCCAUGAGAGAUGAAGAUGCCUCAUGCCCGCCCGAUUCUAGUUGCUUAUCCCGUGUUUUUAUCCUCUGUUUUCAGCAAAAGCUAAUUUAUAUAUAUAUACUAUCUUCUGAUUGUAAUCUUGUCGUCUAAAUCUCAUAAAUUGAAAAGCUAGCCUACACAGCUCAGGAACAAAAUGUCCACAUAAGAUUGUUCAAUAUUAUUUUUUCACAAAUAGUCUUCUGCUAAAAUGUAUACUCACGAAAAAUAAUGAUAUCUAAGUUCCUUUACCACAUCUUCAAAUCCGUGCUAUAUAUAUAUAUAUAUAUAUAU